GGGGUCGCUGAGGGGCAGCGCGGGGAGAGCCCCGGGGCGGCGGGGCUGACCCUACCCCCGGGUCCGGGCGGGCUCAGCCGCGGGGUUCGGGCUCGGUUUCGGACGGGAGGAAGGAAGGGAGGGAGCCGGUGCUUUCCCCCGUCAGCGGGCCGCUGCGGGCUCGGGCUGCCCUCACAGGGCCCUCACCAUCCCUCCAUGCACCCACGGGUUGAGGGGACUGUUGGUUUGGGGCUUUUUGUUUGAUUUCCGUUGUGGUUUGGGUUGGUUUUUUUUUUCCCCCUUUCUUUUUCCACAUUUCCUCACAGCCCCUUGCACCCCAGGGAUCAACGGUGAGGGGAAGUUUCUAACAUUUCCUAAUCCCAGGCGAGGCCGUGAGGCCUGUCCGGCAGGCCCCGGGGGGGACAGGCCGGGGCCGCCAUCAGGCGUGGGGGUGAGUGGGUGCAGCGGGGAACAGGGAGUCACCCCACGGCGUUACUCACCGACAGCACCCACGGAACCACGGCAUCAACGCACGGGGAAACCGGCCCCGCACCCCAGCACGUACCCGUCAUGUCACCCUGGCGUCACGGACCUCCGGCGUGCCCACUGCAUCGCUAUGUACAUGGGCUUAUAAAGGGUGGUUCACGCCUUCCCCUUCCUGCCGCCAAGUCCUGCUCCCUGGAAAGAAGCAGAACGGCAGCGUUGAGAGAAGGUAGUUCUGAUGAUCCAGCCCUGGUUACCCAGCCCUACAUACCUUGGGCAAACACAUCUGCGCUUCCUGGAGUGACCUAUGGAGUACGUCUGGAGGGAUCAGCUUUCUCUGCCUUGCAUUAAAUAAGGGCCGACACAUAAACCUUCAUAAUAGGAAAAUUAGGAGCUCCCUCAGCAGCAUUCAGCUCUGGUCAGAGACAGACCUCGGGUCUAAAAUGACCUCACAUCUGAUCCUGACUCACCUUGUAAACUUGAAACGGUCAAAGUGAAUAGCAGAUGAGCACAAAAUGCACCUUAAGCAUGUAAGAAGGAAAGACAGAAAGCCAGACAAGAGCACAGACAACAUCUUAAAACCUUACUUCAAUUCAGCAAUGUAAUUUAUAGUUAUUUUCACACAGAGAUGUCUGUCCAAAGACAUUCAGCUGUAUAAUUUAGGAAUGUGUUAAUGGCAUGCAUUUCUCUAAAAGCAGUAAUUUUAAGGCUGCCUUUCUUGAGUGUCUGCUACAGACAAACAGUUCAUUUUUGAGAGAGAAGGAGAAAAACAGAAAGAAGAAAACAGAGACUUUAUAAUACUGAAAAAGCUGUGUGGGAGCACUAGCAGUCCUCAAACGUGGCCUAGACUGCAUGAUGACAUUGACACGGUCAGUCUAAUUCCCUUGUGCUAGUAGAUCUGAAAAAUGAUCCUCAUUAGAGAAAAUCAGCCACUGACAUCAACUGGGUGGAACCUGCUUUAGCGCCGCUUCCUGUCCCCACACAUACAGCUCGCUUAUCGUGAAGGAUGAGGGAGAAGUGAGUGAAGCUUUACUUUAAUUGCUAGCUUAUCAUAAGUAAAAUCACAUUUGCUACACACUGGCCCACAGAACCAAAAAUCUAUUAACAUUUGCCCAAAUACCCUUUUAGAGCUCUAGGAACAUGCACAGCCCUGAGCAACUUUCACCUUUGCUAUCAUCUGUAAGCAGUCCCAUUUCCAGAAAGCCACAAAUUCCUCACUUUUAUAUUCAACCACUUCAUAUCCUACCACUUCAGAAAUUUCACUGGGGCAACUCCGAGAGCAAAGGUGUAGCAGUCACCUGACAAAGUGAAGAGGCAGGUGUCAGGUAAUAGCAGACAAAGAAUAAUUCCCUGUGGUUUUGAUUCAAAGGAAAGCAGCUGAGACUGGUUCAGGUUGGUAGUAUUUCCCCUCACUACUACACUCUAUAAUACUGUGUGGUUGGUUCUGAUGCAGAUAAUUCAGAAUGCUCUUUAAACUGGGUGUGCAGAGUUUGCCAAUGUAAAAUGAAGUUUACGGCACGUUUGUCCUGUCCUUUAUUAGCCUGUAAAGUGGUGAAGUCGUUACGGUCUCUGGACCCUUCCUUUGCAGGCAGCCUUGUUACUUGGGCUCUCUCCAAGCUAUACUGAGAGCUCUGUCUCCACUCUCUUCCUAUUUCUCACCAUCCCCCUUGGAAAGCCCACUGCCAGCUAGAGGAGACGUUCACUGAGUAGGCUUUUGCUGAGCAUCUGCCACCACAUUUCCUCAUUACAUGCUGAAAUUGUACUUUCUAGUAUUCACUAAAGACACGGCACAGAUGACUUGUCAAGUUAAACAUCCUUCCUGUGCAGUAACAGCACACUAUAAAGCCCCUGCCCUGUAACUUAAAUGAACAUAAAAGGAUGUACACACGCUCCCUGCGCCCCCCUCCCCCCAAGUUAAAAUAGAUGACUAACCAUGCCCAAGAGCUAAAUGCUGCUCUUCUGUCACCUAGCUGCUGCAGUACUGCAUUUUCUACAGAUAUAUAAAUUCUGUGUAUAAAACUCAGUGCUUCGAGCAAGCUGCUUUUCCAGCACACAGUUCUGUUUCUCCAUCUGAGACCUGAGGAACCUCCAUCUCUUAGUCUCUCAGACUGACAGACUCCCAGACCAGUGGCAGCGUCUCUCCUUGAAAUCUUCAGGCUUGUCCUGUUCCACCCAGCCUCUUUGUGCCUUUCAUGCUACUGGAGCAGAAUUCCCCCUCAAAAUGUUUUGAUGCCGAUUUUGCCCUCAGGGACAAAGCCGAGGAAGACAUUGUCCCUGCUCUGAAGUCAGUCAACGUCUUGCUGUCACAAGCUGCCUGAAGGUGGGUGUUCACACACCCUGCUGCCCUAGGGAGUGAGGUCUAGUUUUCUUCAGGUGUCAGAGCAAAGCACAACGAUUAACACAAGCACACCAAGCCAGGUUGUCUCUUUCAGAUAAACAAGCUUAAACAACAAUUCAAAAAGCUCAGAAAUGCUUCUCCAAAAACUCAAAAAGGCCAGAAACUAGAAAUGGCACUUUUGGCACUUCUCAGGACUACUCUAUUUUACAAACUUCUGAAGUGAGGAAUCCACAAACAGUAAAAGCAGUUCAGGAGGCAAGUCGUUAGCUGGAAGAGAGCUCCUUACCCCCACAAAGGAAAACCUACAUCGGCAGCACCAUUACUUACAGAUUCCUGC